GUCUUUUUGUUUGUCUCUUUGAUUUAAGAUAUUCACCUUCCAUUUCUUUCGAUUCCUCCUUUGUGGAGGAAUUGAAUCUCCAUUCUCUGCUUGCAAUUCCUCUGUAAACAGAAAUGUCGGUGAUUUCAAAUUUCACGGCAUGUAGUCUCGGUGAUUGCACGGCUAAUCAUGCUGAUGGGAAGUUCAAUUCUGGGUCUAUUCCUGGCUUAAAUUGGAGAGCCACCAACAGGAUUUCUAUGCCUCACCAGAGCAGC
rnacentral:misc_RNA from 1 species